UACGUAGGGGGCUAGCGUUGUCCGGAAUCAUUGGGCGUAAAGAGCGUGUAGGCGGCCCGGUAAGUCCGCUGUGAAAGUCGGGGGCUCAACCCUCGAAUGCCGGUGGAUACUGUCGGGCUAGAGUGCGGAAGAGGCGAGUGGAAUUCCUGGUGUAGCGGUGAAAUGCGCAGAUAUCAGGAGGAACACCGUGAGAAGGCGGCUCUGGGACCGUAACUGACGC
rnacentral:rRNA from 1 species